GGGGCUGACUUGGAUUUCGACAGAUUUCUUGUCGCACAGAUAGCAUGCCAAGCACUGCUUGUAAAACAGCAACAAAAAUAACUGUAAACAACGCAGAUUACGCUCCAGCUUACGCUAAAGCUGCGUGAGUUAAUCUCCUUUUGGAGCUGGACUGAUUAGAAUUUCUAGCGUUUUAAUCACUCCAUAACCUUAAGCUAGACGCUUUUAAAAGGUGGUUCGCCUUUUAAACUAAGAAACAAGAACUCUUGAAACUACCUCAAGGUUUUAGAAAGUUGGACCAGAGCUAGUUUUAAGGCUAAAAAACUAACCAAUUUUCUAAGCAUUGUAGAAGUUUGUGUUUAGGGCAAGAUUUUUGGACUGGGGUUCGAUUCCCCACAGCUCCACCA
rnacentral:tmRNA from 1 species